rnacentral:rRNA from 1 species
GGCGAACGCUAGCGGUACGCCUAACACAUGCAAGUCGAGCGGGAGUUUUUUAGAAGCUUGCUUCUGAAAAACAAGAGCGGCAAGCGGGUGAGUAACACGUUGGUACUUGCCCCUUGGUCAGGGAUAGCCCAUCGAAAGAUGGAUUAAUACCGGAUAGUCUCUUCGGAGUAAAGAUUUAUCGCCAAGGGAGAGGCCUGCGUUCUAUCAGCUAGUUGGUGAGGUAAUGGCUUACCAAGGCUAUGACGGAUAACUGGUCUGAGAGGAUGAUCAGUCACAAUGGAACUGAGACACGGUCCAUACUCCUACGGGAGGCAGCAGUGAGGAAUAUUCCACAAUGGGCGAAAGCCUGAUGGAGCGAUACCGCGUGAAGGAUGAAGGUCUAACGAUUGUAAACUUCUUUUCUGAGGGAGCAUAAUGAUAGUACCUCAGAAUAAAGGACGGCUAAUUACGUGCCAGCAGCCGCGGUAAUACGUAAGUCCCAAGCGUUGCCCGGAAUUACUGGG